CGGUGUUUAACUGGCGUGAUGUGGGACGUCCUACCGGUGGGCUUAGCCUCGCGAGGGGCGGCCCAACUAAUAUCCCGUCGCGGUGCUCUUUACUGAGUGUCGAGUCGGGCCGGUACGUUUACUUUGAACAAAUUAGAGUGCUUAAAGCAGGCUAUCCUCGCCUGAAUACUGCGUGCAUGGAAUAAUGAAAUAGGACCUCGGUUCUAUUUUGUUGGUUUUCGGAACCCCGAGGUAAUGAUUAAUAGGGACAGAUGGGGGCAUUCGUAUUGCGACGUUAGAGGUGAAAUUCUUGGAUCGUCGCAAGACGGACAGAAGCGAAAGCAUUUGCCAAAAAUGUUUUCAUUAAUCAAGAACGAAAGUUAGAGGUUCGAAGGCGAUCAGAUACCGCCCUAGUUCUAACCAUAAACGAUGCCAGCUAGCGAUCCGCCGAAGUUCCUCCGAUGACUCGGCGGGCAGCUUCCGGGAAACCAAAGCUUUUGGGUUCCGGGGGAAGUAUGGUUGCAAAGCUGAAACUUAAAGGAAUUGACGGAAGGGCACCACCAGGAGUGGAGCCUGCGGCUUAAUUUGACUCAACACGGGAAACCUCACCAGGCCCAGACACCGGAAGGAUUGACAGAUUGAUAGCUCUUUCUUGAUUCGGUGGGUGGUGGUGCAUGGCCGUUCUUAGUUGGUGGAGCGAUUUGUCUGGUUAAUUCCGAUAACGAACGAGACUCUAGCCUGCUAAAUAGGCGUACCUUAUGGUAUCGCGAAGGCCCCCGGCUUCGGCCGGUGGGUUUUUACUACCAACGUACAAACAAAUCUUCUUAGAGGGACAGGCGG
rnacentral:rRNA from 1 species